UGUCUAUUAAUUGUAGACCAGCAUGAAAGGCAAUAUGAGGGUCUAACUGUCUCUUAUAAUAAAUCAAUUAAACUGAUCUUCUAGUAAAAAAGCUAGAAUCCCACCAUAAGACCAGAAGACCCUGUGAAGCUUAAACUAAACUAUUAAAACAAAUAAUAGCUAUUUUCGGUUGGGGCGACCUUGGAAAAAAAAAGAACUUCCAACAUACUAAUAACCAAACCCUACAGGCCCACAAGCCACACACUAAUGUAAUGACCCAGCAGGACUGAUCAUUGAACCAAGUUACUCCAGGGAUAACAGCGCUAUCUUCUUCAAGAGCCCAUAUCAAAAAGAAGGUUUACGACCUCGAUGUUGGAUCAGGACAUCCUAACGGCGCA
rnacentral:rRNA from 1 species